rnacentral:tRNA from 1 species
AUCUGACUGGCUCAGUCAGUGGAGCGUGCGACUCUUGAUCUCAGGGUUGUGGGUUUGAACCCCACGUUGGGUA